rnacentral:tmRNA from 1 species
GGGGGCGUUUUUGGAUUCGACGGGGAUUGUUCGAGCAUGUUAGUAGCGAGUCGUGGGGUUGCGAGGCCACGUUAAAAACGCGAACCUAAAGUAAACGCUAAGAAACAAUCUUUCAACAACUCUUUCGCGUUCGCAGCUUAGUCUGUGAAUCCGUUCAGCUCUCUGUCUCUCGCGUAGCGGGUUGAACGUCACUUUAGCGGGAUAGUCGAAGGGAUCGUCCGUGGCCCUCCGAUGAAACUGUAACGGGCUGGUUGAAGGGAAGCGUGUCGCUCCGCGUCCCCGAUACGACAACCCAAUAGAGACGACUACACUCGUAGAAGCUCAUGUAGCGAGGUCUUCGGACAGGGGUUCGACUCCCCUCGCCUCCACCA